rnacentral:rRNA from 1 species
AAAAGUAAAAGUCGUAACAAGGUUUCCGUAGGUGAACCUGCGGAAGGAUCAUUAAGAAACUAGUCGUCUGCGUAGGGGCAACCCUUUUACCGCGGGGUAAGCUUACUAGUACACCCUUUAAUAAACUACCUUCGUUUCUUUUGUGGGCCGCCGUUCUGCGGCCAGCGGCUCCGGCUGCUGCGCGCCCGCCAGGGGACCACAACUCUUUUUUUUAGUGAUGUCUGGGUACUAUAUAAUAGUUAAAACUUUCAACAACGGAUCUCUUUGUUCUGGCAUCGAUGAAGAACGCAGCGAAAUGCGAUAAGUAAUGUGAAUUUCAGAAUUCAGUGAAUCAUCGAAUCUUUUAACGCACAUUUCGCCCCCUGGUAUUCCGGGGGGCAUGCCUGUUCGGGCGUCAUUAUAACCACUCACGCUCUCGCGUGGUAUUUGGGUUCGCGGUCUCGCGGCCCCUAAAGUCAGUGGCGGUGCCUGUCGGCUCUACGCGUAGUAAUACUCCUCGCGAUUUAGUCCGGUGGGUAGCUUUCCAACAACCCCCAAAUUUUUUCAGGUUUACCUCGGAUCAGGUAGGGAUACCCGCUGAACUUAAGCAUAUCAAUAAGCGGGGGAAAA